rnacentral:lncRNA from 1 species
UCAGCCAGGCUGGGCUCCACCCCGGCUCCUCGUCGCCUACUCCCGAGGCCGGUGGUUCAUCUGCGCGGCACGUGUCGAUGUCUGCUCGGUAACUUGGGCUUCCUGCUUAUUCAUUUCUGCUCCCGGAUCCCUCGUUACUAAUCAAGGCCGGCGCGGGGAACAGCCUCUCCACGGGGGAGUUAAAUCGACUGGGACUUCUGUUCUUCGGUUUUGAAGGGAAAAGAAUAAAAUAUUCAGCCUUGUGUUGUGUGUUGAGACGCAGCGGAACUUGAAUGUGCCUUAAAAAGGGCACCUGAAGAGGCGCCGCCAGCGCCAGUCCUCGUUAGUAUAGUGAAACUCCUUACUCUGGGAGAACCAACCCCACCGGCUGGCGGGCUUCUGUCCCGCGGUCGUGCAUCGCGAGGGCCUGGCUGCAGUCACCGUCCAUCCAGCUCCCUAGCGUCACCUGGUUACAGGACAGAAGACCCAAGUCCUCGCACUGCAGCCAUAUUUCCCAUCUCCUGCAAGCCCACCGCGCUGCUGUGGGUGCUGAGCCGGCCCGCUGGUGUCCCCUCCACCCCCACCCCAACAAGACUGCCAACUCGCAAGGCCAGGAAAUGCUCCUGCUGCUGCAAAUAAUUCCAUCCUCUCAUAUCUUGCUCCAGCCCAGGCUGGCCCUUAAAAAAAGUUUAUGGAUUUGAGAAGGGAGGUAGGAGGAUGCUACACAGAGAGGUCUUCUCAUCUUAACUCCCUGGCAGACUCCUUCCUGAGUAGCUAUCAGCCCUCCCAGGCUCCUACUCUUUCAUUUUUGUCUUUUUUUUUUUUUUCCACAUUCAUUCUGAAAAUAUUUACUCAGUUCCUAUUAGGUGCCAGGUACUAUUCUAGGCAUGGGGCUGUAGCAGGAACCCAAAUGGUCCCUGUCCCUGCCCUAUUGAGCUUUAUGACACAGACCAUAAAGAAAUGCUAAACAAACAAAACCAAACAGGCUUCCAGAGUAAUAAAUAUUAUGAAAACAAAACAAAACCCAUGGGUGGGCCCCAUCAGUGAGGUGGCCAGGAAAGUCCUACUUAAGAUCUGGACAAUGAGAAGGAGCCACUCAAGAGACUAUCUGUGGAGCACCCCUGCAGCCAGAGGGAAGGGCAAGUGCAAAGGCCGUGAGGUGCAAAGGAGGGAGCAUGCCUGCAGAACAGCAAGGAGGCAGGUGUGCCCACAGGAGGGGGAGAGAAAGAAGGGAUGAGGUCAGAGAAAUGGAUCAGAAGGCCUUAAAGGCUAGACUAAGAAGGUUUUUUUUUUUUUUUUUUUUAGACUAAGAAGUUUGGAUUGGACUUUAGGGUUUAUGCAGGGAAGAAACAUAAUUGGGUUUGUUUUGAGCAGAGUAAUCUGGCAAGGGAGAAAACAGGGAAAUAUUCUGAGCCAAACACAAUCCCUCAGCUCAUUCCCAAACUGCGUCCAAAAUGCCAUCCAUGAUGCCAUCACUCUGUGCUGGGCCAAGGUCUCUCCCCGCUAGAGUUCUCAUAAGAACAGUGGCAUUCACCAUCCUGAGAAACCACGCUCUGGCCAGACCUUGUACUGGGUGCUGUUCUAAACGAUCCGUGCACAGCUGUUCAGUGGCUGCACCCACCCCACCCUAGGGGGAAUAGGUGCAACUCACAU